GAUGAACGCUGGCGGCGUGCCUAAUACAUGCAAGUCGAGCGAACUGAUUAGAAGCUUGCUUCUGUGACGUUAGCGGCGGACGGGUGAGUAACACGUGGGCAACCUGCCUGUAAGACUGGGAUAACUUCGGGAAACCGAAGCUAAUACCGGAUAGGAUCUUCUCCUUCAUGGGAGAUGAUUGAAAGAUGGUUUCGGCUAUCACUUACAGAUGGGCCCGCGGUGCAUUAGCUAGUUGGUGAGGUAACGGCUCACCAAGGCAACGAUGCAUAGCCGACCUGAGAGGGUGAUCGGCCACACUGGGACUAAGACACGGCCCAGACUCCUACGGGAGGCAGCAGUAGGGAAUCUUCCGCAAUGGACGAAAGUCUGACGGAGCAACGCCGCGUGAGUGAUGAAGGCUUUCGGGUCGUAAAACUCUGUUGUUAGGGAAGAACAAGUACAAGAGUAACUGCUUGUACCUUGACGGUACCUAACCAGAAAGCCACGGCUAACUACGUGCCAGCCGCCGCGGUAA
rnacentral:rRNA from 1 species